UGGGAAAAUCUUGGUUAUUCAAAGGAAAC
rnacentral:piRNA from 1 species